rnacentral:misc_RNA from 1 species
AACUGAUACUACCUGCGGGAACCUGCGGAAGGAUCAUUAUAGAGUGGUAAACCCCCCGUAAAAGGGGGGGACCUCCUGUCCUUUGUAGGCUCUUUUUUAAAAGGGCUUUUUUUAAUUUUCUGCUUCGGUGGGGUUAUCCCACCGGAACAACCUCAAAACUCUUAUCAAAAAAUCGUUCUGUCUGAGAACCUUUUAUAAUAAAAAAAAACUUUUAACAAUGGAUCUCUAGAUCGGAAGAGC